UUUUCAUUUUUCUUCCCAUUUUAUCCUCCUCUCCUUACAUCCCGGAAUAUCUACAUCAGUUUCUUCUUCACCUGAAGAGUUCUCUUUCAAUCUACCUUUAUGAUUGAAUCUCUACAGCCACAACAUCAAUUGUUACUGGAAGAAUUUAAUUCCCUUGUUUGUAUUUCAAGAUAUGGUGAACAAUAGGGCUAAAUCCCCCAUCCUACAUGCUUUAUUUCUCCAGUAAUCUAGCUGUUCGAUUCAUGUAGAACUUGGACUACGAGAGAAAGAUGUUAAGAUCAGGAUGUUGAAGUUGAGCCCUAAUUUAUUUCAUAAUUUUUCGAACAACCUACACCAGUGUCGUGAUUCCAGCAACCGGCCCUGUCUUCGCGUUGCGGAACCAGUUAGACGGCUUAUGGAUGCAGGUAUAUCAAUCUACCACCAGAAGUUUUCGAAGACGGCUUUUGUGUGGUGUUGAAAUAGGAGAAAAUUACUUAUACACAGCCUACAGGUCAUCCUCAUUUUGAAGAAUCUCCGCUGCAAUAGGUUACGAGGUUUUAUAUAGCGCAAGGCGCACCAGUUACAUAGGGUCUAAAUUCUAGAACCAUGGCGUAAGGCUCAGAAGCAAACCGCUUUGUGUACGAGGUACAGUUUAUUUAUUUACUUAUAUACUUAUUUUUUUAAUUCUCAUAGGUUUCUACCAUAAGUUGCCCAAAAUUUAGGAACAAAUAAGCACAAUUUAUGGUUUUACACUUAAAUAACCUAUAUGUAUUUUUUUGUGUUUGUGCGUGCUUACUAAAGUGUAAUCCUGGGAGCACAUUUUGUGAUUUGUUAUACCACUGGGUCCACUAGAAUUAUUUGUUUGGGUACAUGCUGGUCAUUUUUGUGGAAACUCUUCAACUUUCUGAUAGAAAGUGGCUCACAUAGUUUACUUAUAUACCAAAUGUUUAAACUUUAAUAUAUAAAAAGGCUGCUGAAUUUUGACACAAGUCUCAGGGGAGUACUCAACUUUCAGCUUGUUAUCUUUUAUGCUUAAUACCAAUAUGGUGAUCGGCAAAAACUAAUAUAAAUACUCGUAACUAAACUAUAUUAGGUGGUUUAACUAUGAGUUUGAAACUUUGUUGGUCGCGAGUUAAAAAGAAAACUCUGGAAAUAAAACAUCUUCGGGGGAGGGGCGGUGGCUUGUGGUUGUGCAUUUAGGGAAGGAGGAGCGUCUGGUGGUUGCUGCUAAUUAUUGAUGUAUCUAAAACUUAUUUUGUGCUUUAUAAAUUGUUCAUUAUCAGUUUUUGUCGCAUCGGUCAUUAAUCUUUAAGAGUAGUGUAAUUAUUUUCAUUAUUUUAUAUAAAUUUUGCAAAAGAUCUGAAAUCUUCAAUGCCAAAAGAUUGAGGGGCUAUUUAAACCCAUUUAUGUGAUGAUGGGUCAAAUUUGGGUUGAACUUUAUUUCAAACCGGUUUAGUAGGUAUAAUUUAACAACUUAGAUAGAAAUAAAUGUGUAACGAGUUUUAUUAAUUUAUAUCAAUUUUGAUUCUUAAAAGUCAAAUAUGCAUUUUUUCUACAUUUUCAGAAGGAAUAAAUUGGUUACAAUUUUGACAUCUACCUGACUUGGUUUUAGAGUUGGCUAAAGUUAGUGCCAGUAGUUGGCUAAUACGUAAAGCGACCGAAAGAUGAACAGAUUUUGAAGGCUUUACUUGCUGCUCAUGCUUUGCUUCAACGGUUAACUCAAUCGUUCAUCUAUACGUUUCAACCAAUUUAUUUUCCAAUACAUCUCUCUUGGCAAUUAAGGUAAUCGUUCAAACUAGCUGAGUUGGUUGACCUGCAAGCGCUUUAUUUUCUCAAUACUUAUUUCACUUGGCGUUUUAACAGUGUAAAUUUAUAUUAUUGAGUAAAAUAUGUAAUAGGUUGCAUGCUUAAAAAGUAGAGUUUAGGCAACUAACUCAUUUCACCCGCUUCUCUUUUAACUAUUUUCUAUUUUUACCCGUUUGAGAAAAAACACAUCACAGAUUGCAGUAGUUAACACCUUUGGGGUAAUACAUUCAUAACGCAAUGGGUUGAGAUGGCCACCUGUUUUUGACGAGUUAACUAAUCUACUUACUUGGUCAUUUCUACACUUAACCAAUGGUGGUUACAUGUUUAUGUCAAUUGAUUUAUAUUACACAACAGUUUGUUUAAAGACUUCUUUAAUUAUCUUUUUCUUAUCUAAUCUAGGAACUGAGGGGUUUGUCUUAACUUCUGUUGUCCAAGAGCUUUUGGGUGAUAAGAAAUGGUAAGAUGUAAUACGAGUUUUUUUAUAAGAGUGUCUCUUACAUGUAACUACUUUUACAAUUUUUUUGUUAUUUUUUGGUAUUACUUUCUUCUUAUUUUUUCCAAUUUUAAAGACAAAUAUGAAUCAGCAAUUUUUCGUGGAAAUGACAAAAAAUGCAUCAGAUAGAGAUAAGCACAUUGUUCA